rnacentral:tRNA from 1 species
UCCGGCGUGGUCUAGUGGCUAGGAUACCUGGCUGUCACCGAGGAGGCCCGGGUUCGAUUCCCGGCGUCGGAA